UUAACUCAUGGUUUUUCUACUCUUGUUGCC
rnacentral:piRNA from 1 species